rnacentral:rRNA from 1 species
GACCUGACUGCUAUCGGAUUGAUACUAAGCCAUGCGAGUCAUUGUAGCAAUACAAGGCAUACGGCUCAGUAACGCGUAGUCAACCUAACCUAUGGACGGGAAUAACCUCGGGAAACUGAGAAUAAUGCCCGAUAGAACAUUAUACCUGGAAUGGUUUAUGUUCCAAAUGAUUUAUCGCCGUAGGAUGGGACUGCGGCCUAUCAGUUUGUUGGUGAGGUAAUGGCCCACCAAGACUAUUACAGGUACGGGCUCUGAGAGGAGUAGCCCGGAGAUGGGUACUGAGACACGGACCCAGGCCCUAUGGGGCGCAGCAGGCGAGAAAACUUUGCAAUGUGCGAAAGCACGACAAGGUUAAUCCGAGUGAUUUCUGCUAAAGAAAUCUUUUGUUAGUCCUAGAAACACUAACGAAUAAGGGGUGGGCAAGUUCUGGUGUCAGCCGCCGCGGUAAAACCAGCACCUCAAGUGGUCAGGAUGAUUAUUGGGCCUAAAGCAUCCGUAGCCGGCUCUGUAAGUUUUCGGUUAAAUCUGUACGCUUAACGUACAGGCCGCCGGGAAUACUGCAAAGCUAGGGAGUGGGAGAAGUAGACGGUACUCGGUAGGAAGUGGUAAAAUGCUUUGAUCUAUCGAUGACCACCUGUGGCGAAGGCGGUCUACUAGAACACGUCCGACGGUGAGGGAUGAAAGCUGGGGGAGCAAACCGGAUUAGAUACCCGGGUAGUCCCAGCUGUAAACUAUGCAAACUCAGUGAUGCAUUGGCUUGUGGCCAAUGCAGUGCUGCAGGGAAGCCGUUAAGUUUGCCGCCUGGGAAGUACGUACGCAAGUAUGAAACUUAAAGGAAUUGGCGGGGGAGCACCACA